rnacentral:rRNA from 1 species
AAUAGUGGAGCUCGAAAAUUGAUGUGUAUUUGAGUCAUAGGAGUUGUUGGUAAUCAGCAAUAUGCUUGUAUUGGUGAUGUUUCUGUUGUUGUCAAAAACGCAUUGCUCCAAAUGCCUCUAGAAAGAUCCAAAGUAAUUUGAGCUAUAAUUUUACGUACAUGA